GGGGUAGUAAAGGUUUCGACAGGGGUUUUGAAACUGGUGAAGCUAUUCGCAGGUGAUGCGUCAAAUCACAAACCUAAAUAUAAACGCUAAUACAGAUUUAGCUUACGCUGCCUAAUCGCAGCUGUCACUGUUAAGUGUCCUACAGCUUAGCUUUGGCAUCGACUUUGUAGGGAACAUUAUUUACAAAGCUUUGAGUAAAUAAUAGAUUUAUGAAGCUACUGAUGGCAUAAGAAUGUUGGUUUUCGUGUGCCGGAGGGAAUGUCAAAUAAUCAACUAUGAUAGUAGAAGAACAGCGGAUGGGCUUUUGGACACGGGUUCGACUCCCGUCUACUCCAU
rnacentral:tmRNA from 1 species